GAUGAACGCUGGCGGCGUGCCUAAUACAUGCAAGUCGAGCGAAGCGGGGACGGGUGAGUAACACGUGGAUAACUGCCUAUAAGACUGGGAUAACUUCGGGAAACCGGAGCUAAACCGGAUACUUAUCGAAGGAUCCUCGCUGCAUUAGCUAGUUGGGAGGGUAACGGCUUACCAAGGCAACGAGGCCUAGCCGACCUGAGAGGGUGAUCGGCCACACUGGAACUGAGACACGGUCCAGACUCCUACGGGAGGCAGCAGUAGGGAAUAUUCCGCAAUGGGCGAAAGCCUGACGGAGCCACGCCGCGUGAGUGAUGAAGGUCUUCGGAUCGUAAAGCUCUGUUAUUAGGGAAGCGGUACCUGAACAGAAAGCAACGGCUAACUACGUGCCAGCCGCCGCGGUAAUUC
rnacentral:rRNA from 1 species